rnacentral:rRNA from 1 species
UACGUAGGGUGCAAGCGUUAAUCGGAAUUACUGGGCGUAAAGCGUGCGCAGGCGGUUAUGUAAGACAGAUGUGAAAUCCCCGGGCUCAACCUGGGAACUGCAUUUGUGACUGCAUAGCUAGAGUACGGUAGAGGGGGAUGGAAUUCCGCGUGUAGCAGUGAAAUGCGUAGAUAUGCGGAGGAACACCGAUGGCGAAGGCAAUCCCCUGGGCCUGCACUGACGCUCAUGCACGAAAGCCGUGGGGAGCAAACAGG